UACGAAUGGGGCAAGCGUUGUUCGGAAUCACUGGGCUUAAAGCGUGCGUAGGCGGAUUUGCAAGUCAGAAGUGAAAUCCCCGGGCUUAACCCGGGAAUUGCUUUUGAAACUGCAAAUCUAGAAGAUUGAAGAGGUUAGCAGAAUUCCGAGUGUAGAGGUGAAAUUCGCAGAUAUUCGGAGGAAUACCAAUGGCGUAGGCAGCUAACUGGGCAAUUUUUGACGCUGAGGCACGAAAGCGUGGGGAGCAAACAGGAUUAGAAACCC
rnacentral:rRNA from 1 species